CUCUAUCAACAUCCAUAUUCACUGUUUCGUAGCAUCAAACCCAACCAUCAAAAUCAACAAUCUCCCACUAACUUCAGCCUCUAUCAACAUCAGUCGCUCCAUUCCAAUUUCAGUUCGACAAGCCACUAACUUUACAAGUGCGCUUUUACAAUCAUGGCAUUCAAAUCCCCGAUUUAUAUGAGCGGAAUGGAUGUUUGUGUUUUCAAUGGCCAUAUUAAAAUGGCAGACUGAAAUCACGAGAAAGAAGGAGAAGAAGGAUUGGGUCUGGGUUUGUUUUGGAUUGCGCAUGACACCAUACAUCUUGAGUUCAGAAAUGCUGCCGUUAUGUCAAGUGGGAAGAGUAUGAGGCGUUGCAAUCAUAACUCAUGCAGGGAGUAAAUGUAAUGCCAAGCCCUGAAGCCCGAAGGAAGGUUGAUCCAAACUAGUGGGAGUUUGCAAAUGAGUGGUUCCUAAGGAGCAGACACAUUUAUUGAAAAAUUUUGUGAGGAGAAAAUGCAACAAUAACUUUCCCUCUCAGAGUUCAUGUUCUGGAUUUCUGUUUCAGGGUUGGACCUAAUUUUCAAGUUUGCAACUUUAUAAUCCCAAAAGCCAGAAGAGAUUUAGGGCUUGACAUAGUCUAAAAUCCAUGGGAGAAGAUCAUGUGUACACAAAAGAUCGGAGGGUUGAAUCCAUUCCAGAUGAGGUUCUCAAAUUUUGAUUUGUUUUUAGUUUUUCCCCGUUCUCUUCUUUUUACUAAAACCUGUCUUCAUUUGUUUGUGUACAGCUCCUUGCAUUCUCUGGCUCACACCCACUUAACAGUAAUUGGCUCAGUUUUAAUAGUGAGGUUUCUUCCCUUUUCCUUUCCCUCACAAGCUGGAAUAUGGGCUUUUGAACAUCAAGCCUGAACGUAUGGAUACUUUCUUUUCCUGUUAUCUUUAGUCAACGUCUUAGUUUGAGUGAACAAAAACUAGAGGAUCAGAGGUUUUGACUCCACAGAGGUGCACUCUCUACAGUGAUUGUAUUUGUUUAUGCAGAUUCUGUAUGCAAGCAGGUCUGCCAUUACCCUGAUCCUGUAACAAGGUUUAACAUUGCACCAGACUUGAUGAAUCAAGCAAAAGAUUAUUUGAACAAAACUAUAUAUGUUGGCUAGAGUGAGUGUUUUAGAAUGCGCAAAAAAAAAAAAAAAAUGUAUCUUCUAAUGUUCCAAUUAUGUUUAUUCGACCCAAAAGUUGUGGUUGCACAGUUGUGUGCAGUCCUGCCUUACUUUGAAUGCCAAUUUAGGAUGGCCUGCCUUUGGAAUG